rfam:Lysinibacillus macroides strain DSM 54 Scaffold4, whole genome shotgun sequence.
AAUGACCACAAGGGGAGCUGAUGAUGUCAGCUGAGACUGGGCACGUAAUGCCUUGACUCUUUGAACCUGUAAGUUAACACUUGCGUAGGGAUGUGGAUAGAAACCGAC